rnacentral:misc_RNA from 1 species
ACCUACUGUUUAAUUUUGAGGGUUCGUUUUUACGAAUACUCAAAAUUAGCACUUUAAGCAACAGAAUAAACUGAACGCAUGUGAAGUUUGUUUGUUGGCGCUGUGCGUUAGCACUUUAAGCAACGGGAUUUAUCCGUUGGCGCUGUGCGUUAGCACUUUAAGCAACGGGAUUUAUCCGUUGGCGCUGUGCGUUAGCACUUUGAAAACUGCAUAUAUAUUUAGUGAUAUGACAUCUAAUUUGUAAUAUAUAAAGCUGAUAACUUUUUAAAAUUAUCGAAGUCGAUAGCUUCUAAUCUAUCAAACCUUUUUAACUGGUCAA